CUAGCAUAUCAAUAAGCGGAGGAAAAGAAACCAACAGGGAUUGCCCUAGUAACGGCGAGUGAAGCGGCAACAGCUCAAAUUUGAAAUCUGGCGUCUUCGGCGUCCGAGUUGUAAUUUGCAGAGGGCGCUUUGGCAUUGGCAGCGGUCCAAGUUCCUUGGAACAGGACGUCACAGAGGGUGAGAAUCCCGUACGUGGUCGCUAGCCUUUACCGUGUAAAGCCCCUUCGACGAGUCGAGUUGUUUGGGAAUGCAGCUCUAAAUGGGAGGUAAAUUUCUUCUAAAGCUAAAUACUGGCCAGAGACCGAUAGCGCACAAGUAGAGUGAUCGAAAGAUGAAAAGCACUUUGGAAAGAGAGUUAAAAAGCACGUGAAAUUGUUGAAAGGGAAGCGCUUGCAGCCAGACUUGCCUGUAGUUGCUCAUCCGGGUUUCUACCCGGUGCACUCUUCUAUAGGCAGGCCAGCAUCAGUUUGGGCGGUUGGAUAAAGGUCUCUGUCAUGUACCUCCUUUCGGGGAGAUCUUAUAGGGGAGACGACAUGCAACCAGCCUGGACUGAGGUCCGCGCAUCUGCUAGGAUGCUGGCGUAAUGGCUGUAAGCGGCCCGUCUUGAAACACGGACCAAGGAGUCUAACAUCUAUGCGAGUGUUUGGGUGUCAAGCCCGAACGCGUAAUGAAAGUGAACGGAGGUGGGAACCUUUCGGGGUGCACCAUCGACCGAUCCUGAUGUCUUCGGAUGGAUUUGAGUAAGAGCAUAGCUGUUGGGACCCGAAAGAUGGUGAACUAUGCUUGAAUAGGGUGAAGCCAGAGGAAACUCUGGUGGAGGCUCGCAGCGGUUCUGACGUGCAAAUCGAUCGUCAAAUUUGGGCAUAGGGGCGAAAGACUAAUCGAACUAUCUAGUAGCUGGUUCCUGCCGAUC
rnacentral:rRNA from 1 species